rnacentral:rRNA from 1 species
AUGGCGAUAAAAGGAAGCGGUAGUCAGACUUCCAGCUCCACGACAAGUGUGGAUGACCGCAGCAGUUGGGACCUUAUCUGGAAAGCUAAAAUCCCUGGAAAAAUCAAAUUAUUCGGAUGGAGGGUGGCCACAAACACCCUAGCUACCAAGUCAAACAAAUGCAGACGAACGAUUGUCACAAACAGCACCUGUGAUAUAUGCGGCAAUGCGGAGGAAGAUGAGUACCAUGCUGUGGUGUCGUGCACAAAAAGUAGAGCUCUAAGACAAGCAAUGAGGAAUCAUUGGAGGCUCCCGAAAGAAAAUGCGUUCUGGUACACAGGAGAGGAUUGGCUCCAAAACCUUCUGAAUACAUGCGAUACUGACACCCGGAACAAAAUCCUAAUUAUGCUAUGGCGAGCAUGGUUUCUCAGGGAUAAUAUAAUCCAUAGUGAUGGAAAGGAGACG